UUUCUAAAUAAAUUACCCAGUCUUGGAUAUGUUUUUAUUAGCAGCAUGAGAACAGACUAUAAUACAGUAUAGCUACCUGUCAGAGGAAAGGAUGAACAAUGUCCAGCAUUAAAUAAAAAAUGUAGGCACACCAAGAGAAAAGACCAAAUGGUCAGAUAUAAGGAGGGGAAAUUAGAUAAGGGAAAUCAACCCACAGGUGAUUCAGGUAUUGGACUUAGCUAACAAGGGUUUAAGAGAACUAUUAUUAAUAUGGCAAAGAAUAUAGAAAAAGAUAGAAUAGAAUUUCAUCAGACAACUGAAAAGCUGUGAAAAAAAUUAAAUGAAAAUUUUGAGAAUUAAAAAUUUUACAAACUAAACUUAAGAAUUCAGUAGAUUUGAAGCAGCAAAAGAGGAUUAGUGAAUUGGGAAAUACAGCAACAUAAAAAAUUAAGAUUAACACAGAAG